rnacentral:rRNA from 1 species
UAAGGAAUAUUGGUCAAUGGGCGAAAGCCUGAACCAGCCAUGCCGCGUGCAGGAAGACGGCCCUACGGGUUGUAAACUGCUUUUGCAGGGGAAUAAACCCAGUUACGUGUAACUGGCUGAAUGUACUCUGAGAAUAAGGAUCGGCUAACUCCGUGCCAGCAGCCGCGGUAAUACGGAGGAUCCAAGCGUUAUCCGGAUUUAUUGGGUUUAAAGGGUGCGUAGGCGGCCUAUUAAGUCAGGGGUGAAAGACGGUAGCUUAACUAUCGCAGUGCCUUUGAUACUGAUGGGCUUGAAUGAACUAGAGGUAGGCGGAAUGUGACAAGUAGCGGUGAAAUGCAUAGAUAUGUCACAGAACACCAAUUGCGAAGGCAGCUUACUAUGGUUUUAUUGACGCUGAGGCACGAAAGCGUGGGGAUCAAACAG